rnacentral:rRNA from 1 species
GAUGAACGCUGGCGGCGUGCCUAAUACAUGCAAGUCGAGCGAAUGGAUUAAGAGCUUGCUCUUAUGAAGUUAGCGGCGGACGGGUGAGUAACACGUGAGUAACCUGCCCUUGACUCUGGGAUAACUGCGGGAAACUGUAGCUAAUACCGGAUACGACCCUCGGCGGCAUCGCCAGGGGGUGGAAAGAAUUUCGGUCAAGGAUGGACUCGCGGCCUAUCAGCUAGUUGGUGAGGUAACGGCUCACCAAGGCGACGACGGGUAGCCGGCCUGAGAGGGUGACCGGCACACGGGGAUUGAGACACGGCCCAGACUCCUACGGGAGGCAGCAGUGGGGAAUAUUGCACAAUGGGCGCAAGCCUGAUGCAGCAACGCCGCGUGAGGGAUGACGGCCUUCGGGUUGUAAACCCCUUUUAGUAGGGAAGGGGCGAAAGUGACGGUACCUGCAGAAAAAGCACCGGCUAACUACGUGCCAGCAGCCGCCGUAA